rnacentral:rRNA from 1 species
AGAGUUUGAUCCUGGCUCAGAUUGAACGCUGGCGGCAUGCCUUACACAUGCAAGUCGAACGGCAGCACGGGGGCAACCCUGGUGGCGAGUGGCGAACGGGUGAGUAAUACAUCGGAACGUGUCCUAGAGUGGGGGAUAGCCCGGCGAAAGCCGGAUUAAUACCGCAUACGCUCGAGAGAGGAAAGCGGGGGAUCUUCGGACCUCGCGCUCAAGGGGCGGCCGAUGGCGGAUUAGCUAGUUGGUAGGGUAAAGGCCUACCAAGGCGACGAUCCGUAGCUGGUCUGAGAGGACGACCAGCCACACUGGGACUGAGACACGGCCCAGACUCCUACGGGAGGCAGCAGUGGGGAAUUUUGGACAAUGGGGGCAACCCUGAUCCGGCAAUGCCGCGUGUGUGAAGAAGGCCUUCGGGUUGUAAAGCACUUUUGUCCGGAAAGAAAUCCUCUGCCCUAAUAUGGCGGGGGGAUGACGGUACCGGAAGAAUAAGCACCGGCUAACUACGUGCCAGCCGCCGCGGUAAUAC